rnacentral:rRNA from 1 species
GACGAACGCUAGCGGCGUGCCUAAUACAUGCAAGUAGAACGCUGAAGGAGGAGCUUGCUCUUCUGGAUGAGUUGCGAACGGGUGAGUAACGCGUAGGUAACCUGCCUGGUAGCGGGGGAUAACUAUUGGAAACGAUAGCUAAUACCGCAUAACAGUAGAUGUUGCAUGACAUUUACUUAAAAGGUGCAAUUGCAUCACUACCAGAUGGACCUGCGUUGUAUUAGCUAGUUGGUGGGGUAACGGCUCACCAAGGCGACGAUACAUAGCCGACCUGAGAGGGUGAUCGGCCACACUGGGACUGAGACACGGCCCAGACUCCUACGGGAGGCAGCAGUAGGGAAUCUUCGGCAAUGGACGGAAGUCUGACCGAGCAACGCCGCGUGAGUGAAGAAGGUUUUCGGAUCGUAAAGCUCUGUUGUAAGAGAAGAACGAGUGUGAGAGUGGAAAGUUCACACUGUGACGGUAUCUUACCAGAAAGGGACGGCUAACUACGUG